CUCGGCGCGGCCGCCGUGACUCAGCCGGCACCGGGAGCUCUGCGGGGCCGGGGGCUGCGGUGGGCAGAGAGGCUGGGAUGAGCAGGGACGAGCAGGAAUUCAGGGAUGCUGGGAUGAGCAGGGACGGGCAGGAAUUCAGGGAUGCUGGGAUGAGCAGGGAUUCAGGGAUGCUGGGAUGAGCAGGGACGGGCAGGAAUUCAGGGAUGCUGGGAUGAGCAGGGAUGGGCAGGAUUCAGGGAUGCUGGGAUGAGCAGGGACGAGCAGGAUUCAGGGAUGCUGGGAUGAGCAGGGAUUCAGGGAUGCUGGGAUGAGCAGGGACGGGCAGGAAUUCAGGGAGGCAGGAAUGUGCAGGGACGUGCAGGAUUCAGGGAUGCUGGGAUGAGCAGGGAUGGGCAGGAUUCAGGGAUGCAGGAAUGAGCAGGGAUGUGCAGGAUUCAGGGAUGCUGGGAUGAGCAGGGAUGGGCAGGAUUCAGGGAUGCUGGGAUGAGCAGGGACGAGUAGGAAUUCAGGGAUGCUGGGAUGAGCAGGGAUGAGCAGGAAUUCAGGGAGGCUGGGAUGAGCAGGAAUUCAGGGAGGCUGGGAUGAGCAGGAAUUCAGGGAGGCUGGGAUGAGCAGGGAUGAGCAGGAAUUCAGGGAGGCUGGGAUGAGCAGGGAUGUGCAGGAUUCAGGGAUGCUGAGCCAUGCAGGGACGUCAGGAUAAACAGGGAUGCAGGGAUGGAAAAGGAUGCAGGGCUGAGCAGGGAGGUGCGGGGAUGGAGGGAUGUGGGGAUGUGCAGGGAUGUACAGGGAUAUGCAGCAAUUUGCAGGGAUGCAGGAAUGUGUGGGGAUGCAGGGAUUUGCGGGGAUGCAGGGAUUUGCAGGGAUCUGUGAGGAUGCAGGGAUUCAGGGAUGCAGCGAUUUGCAGGGAUCUGUGAGGAUGCAGGGAUUCAGGGACGCUGGCACGCCGGGAAAUGCAGGAAUUCAGGAAUGCAGGCAUUCAGGAAUGCAGGAUGCGCAGGGAUGUGCAGGGAUUUGCAGGGAUCUGUGAGGAUGCAGGGAUUCAGGAAUGCAGGAAUUCAGGAAUGCAGGAAUUCAGGAAUGCAGGAUGUGCAGGGCUGCAGAGAUGUGCGGGGCUCCAGGGACUCGGCAAUGACGGAAUUCAGGAAUUCGGAGAUUUAGGGACGCCGGGAUGUGCAGGG
rnacentral:lncRNA from 1 species